rnacentral:rRNA from 1 species
AAGCCAUGCUAUGUCUAAGUGCAAGCCACAUUAAGGUGAAACCGCGAAUGGCUCAUUAAAUCAGUUAUGGUUCCUUAGAUAAUACACCAAGUUACUUGGAUAACUGUGGUAAUUCUAGAGCUAAUACAUGCAAAUAGAGUUCCAACUCGAGAGGGAAGGAACGCUUUUAUUAGAUCAAAACCAAUCGAGCCCGCGUCCCUUCGCGGGGGUGCGGUGCCUCGCAUUGAAUUUGGUGACUCUGAAUAACCACUGAGCAGAUCGCACGGUCUCGUACCGGCGACGCAUCUUUCAAAUGUCUGCCUUAUCAACUGUCGAUGGUAGGUUCUGCGCCUACCAUGGUUGUAACGGGUAACGGGGAAUCAGGGUUCGAUUCCGGAGAGGGAGCCUGAGAAACGGCUACCACAUCCAAGGAAGGCAGCAGGCGCGCAAAUUACCCACUCCCGGCACGGGGAGGUAGUGACGAAAAAUAACGAUACGGGACUCAUCCGAGGCCCCGUAAUCGGAAUGAGCACAACUUAAAUACUUUAACGAGUAUCCAUUGGAGGGCAAGUCUGGUGCCAGCAGCCGCGGUAAUUCCAGCUCCAAUAGCGUAUAUUAAAGUUGUUGCGGUUAAAAAGCUCGUAGUUGGACUUGUGUCCCACGCCGUCGGUUCGUCGCCCGUCGACGUAACCGCACGGUUAUUGCAAGUGGGACGUCCAGCCGGUGAGGCGCCGGAACCGCGGCGGGCGCGCGCGCGCCCACGCGCCGGCCGGUCGGGGGGACUCGCACUAACCUGCGUCGGACCUCCAGCCGGUCGCGUCGACGUGCAAGCGUCGCUGCGUUGCAUCGCCGCGGGGUGCCGGCCUCAUAUUACUCGUCUCGGUGCUCUUAAUCGAGUGUCUUGACGGGCCGGCUCGUUUACUUUGAACAAAUUAGAGUGCUCAAAGCAGGCUGAAAACGCUUGAAUAUUGUGUGCAUGGAAUAAUGGAAUAGGAUCUCGGUUCUAUUUUAUUGGUUUUCUGAACCAGAGAUAAUGAUUAAUAGAGACUGACGGGGGCAUUCGUAUUGCGACGUUAGAGGUGAAAUUCUUGGAUCGUCGCAAGACGAACAGAAGCGAAAGCAUUUGCCAAGAAUGUUUUCUUUAAUCAAGAACGAAAGUUAGAGGUUCGAAGGCGAUCAGAUACCGCCCUAGUUCUAACCAUAAACGAUGCCAACUAGCGAUCCGCCGGUGUUCCUCCGAUGACCCGGCGGGCAGCUUCCGGGAAACCAAAGUGUUUGGGUUCCGGGGGAAGUAUGGUUGCAAAGCUGAAACUUAAAGGAAUUGACGGAAGGGCACCACCAGGAGUGGAGCCUGCGGCUUAAUUUGACUCAACACGGGAAACCUCACCAGGCCCGGACACUGGAAGGAUUGACAGAUUGAUAGCUCUUUCUUGAUUCAGUGGGUGGUGGUGCAUGGCCGUUCUUAGUUGGUGGAGCGAUUUGUCUGGUUAAUUCCGAUAACGAACGAGACUCUGGCCUGCUAACUAGUCGCAAUCAACGACAUCCGCAUUCGUGCUGUCGGCGACAAAUACAAACUCUUCUUAGAGGGACAGGCGGCUUCUAGCCGCACGAGAUUGAGCAAUAACAGGUCUGUGAUGCCCUUAGAUGUUCUGGGCCGCACGCGCGCUACACUGAAGGAAUCAACGUGUGUUUUCCCUUGGCCGAGAGGUCCGGGUAACCCGCUGAACCUCCUUCGUGCUAGGGAUUGGGGCUUGCAAUUGUUCCCCAUGAACGAGGAAUUCCCAGUAAGCGCGAGUCAUAAGCUCGCGUUGAUUACGUCCCUGCCCUUUGUACACACCGCCCGUCGCUACUACCGAUUGAAUGAUUUAGUGAGGUCUUCGGACCGUCGCGCGGCACUGGUCUCCUCGAUCGGUGUCGAUGUCCGACGGAAAGAUGAUCAAACUUGAUUAUUUAGAGGAAGUAAAAGUCGUAACAAGGUUUCCGUAGGUGAACCUGCGGAAGGAUCAA